rnacentral:rRNA from 1 species
UGGCGGACGGGUGAGUAAUGUCUGGGAAACUGCCCGAUGGGGGGGGAUAACUACUGGAAACGGUAGCUAAUACCGCAUAACGUCGCAAGACCAAAGAGGGGGACCUUCGGGCCUCUUGCCAUCGGAUGUGCCCAGAUGGGAUUAGCUAGUAGGUGGGGUAACGGCUCACCUAGGCGACGAUCCCUAGCUGGUCUGAGAGGAUGACCAGCCACACUGGAACUGAGACACGGUCCAG